AACUUUGAUUGGCUUGUUUCAAAUGAGUCAACUAGGUUGAGAGAGCUGCUGACUUCAUAGAUAAUGGUUCAUACGACUGCUCAACCGGUGCCCUCUUUUAUUUUUUAUGCAUGUAACUAUUAGAGAGAUAUCUAUUUUGGGGAUGAUUCUUGUGGGGACCAUGCAGUGAUAACGUAUAAUGACUUAAGUGGUGGAGUUAUCAUUGUU
rnacentral:lncRNA from 1 species